rnacentral:lncRNA from 1 species
UAAGACAAGCCAUCUGGAUCCAACCUACUCGUUUCGACACCUCAAGAAAAAUCAUAUUAUCAUUUCUUCAAAACUAUUUAUUGCCUCUAUUUGGGUUUUAUUUUCAUUUGUAACUAAAAAGUUACUUUUAAAGGAUCCACGGUAUUAUACACAUAUCGACCACUCAUUUCUCGAAAAAUGAAAGAAACCCGAACAUAAGCAUAUUAAAAUUUUGUGCUUUUCUAAAUAAAUUUUAAUCUGAUCACAUGUACUUCAUAUUUACAGGUUGGAAAAUGUUAACUUAAAACAGAUACACAGUCUAGCAAAGGUCAUUGGAACCGGAAUAACACUCUUAGGUGCAAUGCUCACGACAUUCUACAAAGGCCCUGUAGUUGAUAUUCUUCCCCACUCACUCGGCAGAAGCCACCAUGAAACUGCUAGCACCGUUGGCUCAGCCGAUCAACACUGGAUCACUGGCACAAUUAUGUUGCUUUCUUGUAUUGUGUGUUGGUCCGGUUUCUUUAUAGUUCAAGUAAGUUCUAUGUCCAUCCAGAUAGGAUUAGACAAGAUCAUUACGAAAUUAUAUCAAGUCCUAUCUAAUCGAGCUUAUCAAAUAUGUCGUUUACGUACACUCGAAUUUAUUGAAAUUUUUUCUUUUAGAUUUAAUUAAAGUUAAAUAUUGAUAUGGUUUGGACAGAAUAAGACACUGAAGGAAUAUCCCGCAGAGCUCUCUCUUACAUCAUUAGUUUGUUUCAUGGGAAUGGUGGAAGGUGGAGUUGUGGCUAUAAUAAUGGAACACCAUACCAAUGCCUGGGCAAUUGGCUUCGACUCAAGACUUUUGGCUGUUGUAUAUUCUGUGAGUAAAUUUCAAUAAUUAGGAUGAAAAGUAAUUUAUAUAUUCUCUUAAUGACAUGUUUGAUAUAGGGUUAUAUAUGAUAACACUGGACAAUACACUAUUUUGGCUUUAUUCCCUUUUGCAUAGUGUUGAUCAAUUGUUGUGAGUUCGACCAUUCCUACCCUAUCGGGAUGAAAAGAAUCAAACUCUACUCUUCCCAACUGGUGAAUUCGUGGGUGUGUAUUAUACAUAGUCUCAAAUCAAAGCGAACAUAAAUCUUGUGUGAUCUCGUGUGCAUUUUUUUCCAUGAAUUUUUGUUCUUGGUGGCAGAAUUAGAGUUUUUAAUUCUCAACAAGCAUUCAACUUUAUCAAACACACGACAUGCGUGUUGAGAAUAAAACUUUGUAACGCAUUGAGAGAAUAGAGCUAGACUAGGUGAAAAAAACCCUAAAACGGUCACGAAGUACGUACGGGAGCAUUCCCUAACAAAGCAUUAUAUAUUUUCAAGGAAUGCGAACAUUGAAACACUUUGUCUAAUUAAGUCAUAGUUUCAUGUCAAGAAUCAUAUCAUAAUAUGUGACAAAAUUUUAUGUUGACUAUCAACCUAUCGUAAUUAGUAAGUCUACUUCUUUAUAAGAUAUUGUAUCUAAAUAAAUGUACUUCAUUGCAGGGGAUUGUUUGCUCAGGAAUUGCAUAUUAUCUGCAAAGUGUUGUCAACAAGGCACGAGGUCCAGUGUUUGUGACUGCAUUCAGUCCUCUAAGCAUGAUAAUCACAGCUAUUUUGGGAGCCAUGGUUUUGGCUGAGCAAAUUCACCUUGGAAGGUAACUUUCGUGCUUGUAAUUUUGUUGAACAAGCCAAUUACUUUUAUUAUAUGAAGUUUCUUCGACAGGUAAAAUCUGUUUCAAAAACUUUAUACAGCGGCUAACAGCCGUUCACUGCCCUCGCUGUGUCCCUUGUUGCCCAACCCCAUAAGGGUUGGGAUUCCCCAAUUAAUCGGUGUUCGGGUUGAGUACGGGAAAAAUAGUCCCGUCUCGAAUCUUAUUAUUUAUUUCAUUAUAUACAAUAUAUUUAUGUUUUCAAAUUAAAAUCUUUAAGUUUAAAAAAAAAUUAGUUAGCAAAAAAUAUGAAUAUUUUAAUCUUGAUCAUGCCUCCUACCAAAUGCAAAGGAGAUGGCGACAAGGAGGGCUUCCUUGUCCCUGCCAUUGCCCAUCUCUUUUGCAAUCCCCACUCGUGGAAACACACACCAAACAAGUUGUACCUAACGCACACAUCAUCUGCAUACAUCGCACUCGUUAAUUUAGCGUGAGAAUUUUUAUCAAUUAUGAUCGUCACUUAUAUUUCUUGAUACAUAAUUGUUCGAUAAUUAGUAGUUAAAAAUGUGUGUAUAUUUGUACUUGCAGCUUAAUAGGAGCAAUUAUCAUUGUAUUUGGACUCUACUCAGUUGUAUGGGGUAAGAGCAAAGAGAAUUCAAACUCGGAUGAGUUAGUGUACAAGGAAAACAAAUCCCAUGAUGAAUUGCCAGUGGUGUACAAGAAAACAUCAAAUAUUCUUGACAAUGUCACAACUGAUACCAAUGUAAAACCAGAUGUACGUGAGAAUAAUUCCUUAAAUCAAGAGCCAUGAAAUAGCAACAUCGUCCCGUCCCAUCCCGUCCCAGCCUAGCCUAGCCCAGCCCAGCUCGUGUUGUUUUUACAUUUUUAGCCCAUGUUGUAUUUAUACCCAUAAAGGCAGAGUAAUUAUGUCAUAUAUUACUGACAUUUUAGCAUUGUAAAUUGGAAAUCAAAUGGGUUUUGGGGAUUAAAGAUCUUGGAGAAGUCAUAUAUCAAGUAUCGAUAUUAAUGAAGCAAGUGAAAUUUGACAGAUAAAUGUUACAAAUCCACUGCGCAAACUACAUACCGAAACUUGUGUUGUAUCCUUGUGUGACCUUGGAUAUACAUGUCUUUAUACAUUUUACUUUAAUUGAAAGCGGUGUCUUGCAAUUUGAUUUGAAACUUGUAUUCGUGAAGAUUGUGUCGCGGUUUGACGAAGAUUUGGAAGUUUCUGCCAUUGUAGAUUAUAACUAUAAUGAACAAUUUAGCUCCUAUUUGUUUUGGAUAAAAAUUAAAAUUUUCGUAUAUUGUGAUAAAAUUUGAUGAAAUAUUUAGUUAAAUGUUGAUAAGGUAUUGGAUCUCAUAAAAAUAUGUGAUUGAAAAUGAGUUUUAAAAAAUAAUAAUGAUGAUUGAACAGGGCUAAAAACACGAAAAGUGUGGACAGAGUGAGUUGACAGCAUUUGGUUGGAUUUAAUUUUAGAAAAUUUUCAAACCAUCCAUUCAUGCUUCUCUUUAAGGAUUAGGGGUCAAACAUGGUCUUAACUCUUGAGGGUUUAGGAAUGUCAAAGAUGAAAAAUAUUUUCGAUUAAUUUCAAUUGUCAAACAUUUUUGUCUUUAAAAUGAGUAUAUAUGGGAUCAUAUUCAAUCCAUGUUAUAUGAAAAAAUUCGAAAUUACUAAUUUAUCAGUAAAAUAGUUAAAUGGACCAAAAUGUCCAUAAUUGAAGAUAACAAAUCACGUGAUUUAUAAUACAUUUUGUAACACUUGUCAAUUUUUUUUUUAGCUUUUUUAUUCUCCUAAAGUUCAAUUAUUAUUUCAUUUUCAUCUAAUUAACAUUUUUUUAAAAUCUUUUUCAUUCACAUGUCCUACGUAAAUUAACGUGCAAUCUAGCAUUUUAAAUAAUUUUCUUCCAUUUGCAUUAUUUACUUUAAAAUUUGUUAGGAAUGCAUGUCUAAUUUUAUUAGUUUGAUGAUUAUGCACUUGUUUGAUAAAGAUUUUUAGAGAAGUAAUUAUUUGAAAAUAUCUUCUCUAUGAAUGUGUGAUUAAAAAUUAGAAAAGUUAUGAGGAAAUGAGAAAAAUAAUAUUUUGGGAGAUUGUAUGAUUGAAAACAAGUACGGAAGAAAAAUUAUUCUCAAAAAAUAAAAAUCGAACUAAGGCCCCUUUUGUGAGAAAGCUUCGUAGAAGAGAAUAAUGUAUAUAUACAUAUAAUGAAUGAGUAUUUCCUAUAUUUCACAAUAUUUUACUAACUUAGUAAAAUUAUUUUUAGCGAUUUGAUGUUAGAGCUGAAGAAAGGAAAAUAAUAAAUUUUAUUGUUCUCUCUCUCACACUCUCUCUCUCUCACACACACACACACAAAUCAUCCAAAAAAACAUUGAAAAAUCAAUACUCGGAAAGUGGUAUGCAAAACAUUAAAUUGAUGCUGGUGUAAAUCUUGACAUUUCUCGUAAUGCUUUAUAAGUAUGAAAGUAGUUUGUUGGAAGAUUUCGGCAAUUAAAAAUUGAAGUCUUCGAUGAAAGGGACCUAGGAAGAGUCACAUGUCGAGUAUCAAUAAUAUUGAAGCAAGUGAAAAUUUACACGUGUUACAAAAAUGUGGAAGUGUGUACAAAAGAUGGUACUAUAAAAAUGGAAAAUUUGCAGUAUUAAUAAUGUUGUUUAAACUUUAAAUAACAAGUUUUGAAAACUAAAAAAAUAAAAAUAAAAAUUGGGUAUCAACAUUAUAUUAUAAUUGCAAAACUAAUCAGUCAUAAAUUAGGAAACUUAUAAAUUUUUAUUAACUCUUUUGUGACCUCAAAUAUUCAUGAAGCUAAAUUUUACUUCUCUUAUUAUAUUGGUGCCUAAAAAUUUAAUUUUUGAUGUUUCUUUCACUCUCUUUUUCACGAAUGCCGAUCAUUGUGCUCAUGUGCAUGUUGAUUCUCCAAUCUUGCCCAACUCUCAAUUGGAUUUUCGGACAAAGGGUCAUAUCUAACUCUCAAUAUCAAUUUGAUCAAGAUCAACUGCUUUUCGAGUCGAAUUAAUUGAUAUUUGUGUAGUUUUGGGGUUUUUUUCAUUUAAAUCAAAUAAAUUGGGAGUAAAAAAUAGUAAUAUUAAUAACAGAGUUUGUAAUGGUUUUUAAUUGUUAAAAAAAAAAACGGUUAUAUUAAUAAAUUUAAGUGAUUUAGAGAAGAGAGGGUGGGGGCGGAGGAGAAGCAAUGUAAAUAUAAAAAGUAAUAGUCAUCUGGAAUAAAAUAAAAUUUUGAAAAAAUAAUUUAUUAUUGUAAAAUAAUGAGGUAAUUAUUGAUGAUUAUUUGAUAUUAUCAUGAUAUAUAAAUAACUCUUAUUUAGUUUAAAAUAUCUAUUUUAUUCAAAUUGUAACUCUUAUUUUAGACCCUAUAAAUAUAUGAUAUUAGUUCUUAAUAAUACACAUUUGAAUUUGACUCUUAUAUUCUCUUAUUCUCUCUUUUCAUAGUACUUAUCUAUUUUUAAUAACUUAAAUAAAAGAUAUCAAUGAAAUAUUUUUUUCAUAUGUAAAUUUUAUUUUAUUAUUAUUUUUUGACAGGUGAUAUCAAUUAAAUAUUUCAUUAACUUAACUAAAAAGUGAAAAACAAACGAAAGGACAAUCUUUCAUCGUGACGCCAAAAUUUAUUCGUCGACGAUGGCAAUUGAUGCUUUGUCGAUAAUCGUUGACAUUGUCUUACGUAUUUGCAUUCAAAUAAAAAUAAAUAAACAAAAGAAUAAAUUUACAUUGAUAACACUAGAGUUUCUUCAUUAGCGAUGGUGAUCGCUGCACUAUCUAUAGUUGUCGAUAAUGUAUGAUGGAGGUGCAUUCAUAAUAAUCAAGAUUAGUGAUUUUUAUUAGAACUAUCAACAAUAACCAUCUAAUGUCACCAAUAAAAAAUCUAUCCAUGAUCAUUUACUAUAUUUUUUUUUGUAGUUAGUAAACUUGUUAAGCUUUGCCAAACACUACAAGGUUAUUUCUUUCCUUUUUUUUCCCCCUUCCUCUUCUAAUCGAAAGUUACGCGUAAUUUUUUUUUCUAGUGAAAUAGAAUAGAAAUUAAAAAAAAAGUAAAUUAUUCUAGGGAAAUUAUAAAAAAUGUCACUUUUUUUACAAUGCAUAAAAAAUUUGCAUGUGCACCUAAUUUCAGAAAAAAUGUCACUUUUUUUUGUGAGAAAUAUCCAACUUAUUCUUCAUGUCCCCUUUUUUAGGAGCAUUUAAUGUUAGCUUUCCAAUCCAAUUAAUGUCAUGAUUUGAUUAGUUAAAUUUAUAUACUAUAAUCAUUGGAUAUAUUAAAAUUAUUAAAUUUAUAUAUUAUAAUCAUUAGAUAUAUGUAUAUUCUCCAUUUUUCAUGUUUCUAGCAAUUGAAGUUAUUUGAUUUUAAAUUUUAAAAAUCUGAUUUUGAAAAGAAUAUAAAUUUCGGAUCAAAAUAAAAAAAAAAAAAAGAAAAAAGUUAAAGGCGGUUAGCGGCUUUCAUGUUCACAGCUGCUGAAUUGCAACAGCAAAUACAGUCUCUGCCACAAUGUCGGUGCUGUAAACGAAAAAUAAAUAAAUUUGUUGUCCAAAUUUUCAUCAGAUUUGGGUGAUUGGAGAUGGAGGCCUGUUGUGCAAAUGAUUCAGAGGGUUAAAAUGUCCUAAAUUGAUAAUUUGCAAGCCUCUGCUUGAAAAUUAAUAUAUAAAGUAUUCAAAUGAUUCAGAGGGUUAAAAUGUCCUAAAUUGGCAUUUUUGAUAGAAAUUUUAAAAUGUGACAUUUUUGAUAUUGCACAGUCAAAUUUUGACACCCAAUGAAAUUUCCUCAUUAUUCUAUUUGGAGAUACAGGUUACUUAAAGUUAGUAUAUUUAGCCCUUGUUUGAGCAACAUUAUUUCCUUAAGAAUACAUUUUUAAAUAGUGUAUUAAUAGGAAAUGUGUGAUUAAAAAUAAGAAAAAGUUUUGGAUUUGUGUGUAAUAUUAUUUUAUUGACUAACGUGUGAUUAAAAUAAUGUUAAAUCACUAUUUAAGAAUGUAUUUUUUAAAAAAUGUGGGGCAAAUUAUUUUCAAGCUUAGACCAUUUUCAGCGCUGCACCAAAUUUUGCACCAAAUCUUUCAGCAAAUUAAAAUUCAUCUCCAACCAUUACACCAAAAGUUAUACUAAAUGAAUAGUGUUUAACUAUUUUUUUCCCUUUUUUGUUCUUUAUAAUAUAUUUAUUUGAAAUAUUAUUUAUUUAAUUAUUUUAUAAAUACAUAGUUACUAAAUAAAUUAUUAUGUUAAAUUAUGAAAAAGAUUAAAUUCAUUAAUAAAUCGUGUUUGUUAUAUUUUAAAAUUUUUUCUUCUUUUAAUUAAUUAAUUAAUUAUUAUUUCUUGCAUUUAAAAUAAAUUUUAAAUGCAAGUAAUAAUAAAAAUAAUAAUAAUUUAUUGUAUUUAAAAAUAGAUAGCACAAAGAUACAAAUACCCUUAAGCAAUUUAUUUGAAAAAGGAAAAUGAAAGGUAAAAAUGACUUUAGAUACCAAAAUGGUGCAAAACAAAAUUUGAUGUUAGAGGUGUUUUACACCAUUUUUUUGGGUGCAUUUUUGUGUUUUGGGGGUAAGCAUUGGAACUGCCCAGCAAAACAUGCCGUCUGAUAUGGCACUUGAUGAUUGGGGAAAGCUACAAAACUGGGGAAAUAUUGUACCAGCUUAACCCAAAAUGUUCCUCACGUCCUCUGGCUCAUUCUCUUUCGACUACUCAUUUCCACACCCCUUCAUCUCACCUGGGCCAAUGAUUUUGGCUGCCAACUGACGUCAGAGUGAGAUAUUUUAUCUGUAAGUAAUAAAUAAAGAAAAUGGCGAUGUGGGUUUUCGGAUACGGAUCUCUGAUCUGGAAAGCCGGCUUCCAUUUUGAUGAUCGCCUUGUCGGUUUCAUCAAAGACUACCGCCGUGUUUUCUAUCAAGGUUAGAAGAUAAUCCCCUCCUCGAGUAAAUUUUUUUGUAAAAUAGAGUAUUGGGUUCAAUUUAUCGAGUUAGGAGUAGUCCAAGUCAUCAAACAGAUGGAAUUGCUCUUUAUAGCUUUUUUGACUCUGAUACUCUGCGUUGAUUCUUGGGCUCUAUCUUUAAAAGGCUAAUCUUGUUAAGAGGUCUUGUAGAUUUAAGCAUAAAUCAUAUAUUCAAUGGGCUGGAGUGGAUUUCUCUUGAUGCUGACAGUGUGAUUCCAUUAACGUUGUGUGUGCCUGCGGGGAUCGAGAUGAUUAAACUUUUUGUUGGGUUUGAGUUUAGGGAGCACUGAUCACAGAGGGACUCCAGAGUACCCGGGAAGAACAGUCACAUUGGAGCCUGCUGAGGGGGAGGUUUGCGUGAGUUCUUUUUGACCUAUCUCUCUUCUUUUCUUGUGUUACUGUAACGGCUUUUGCAUUUUAAAUUAAUGGUACAAUAAGAAGAAAUUUAUCAAUUUGGCCGUUCUUGGAUAUAUAAUGGAAUUGUAUGUAUAAUGAAACAGCUAAUCUGAAAUUUUUAAUUGGUAUUAGCAUACUCUGUUGUUUAACUGGUACUCAAAUGGUAGUAAAGGACAUUCGGACAACUAACAAGAACACCAGAUGAUGCAGAUUACUGAACAACCAAGUUGAAGUAGCACAUAAGAGUUGAACUCUCGCCUUGGAUCAGAAGGAGGGGGUUCGAUUUCUGAGAAGUAUGUUCAUGGAGUAUUUUGAAUUUAGAAACAUCGAGCACUUUUGAGAUUUUAUGUGCGUGGGACUGGAUUUUGAGUUGUGAUUAGCUAAUAGCUAUUGCGAGCUUGUGAUCAAUGAGAAUUGAAGUCAUGGGUUAGAAAAUUCCUAUGAUGAUUGUUGGAGUUCGAAUUUGAAGUUAAGAUUGUUAAUCAUAACAAUUUUAAUCAACAGUGAUUUUUAAUUUCUGGACAUAUUUUAUGCAUGUGUGAUGUGUAUGUAUAUGUAAGUUGAGGUAGAAUGUCAUUUACAUAAAAUGUACUUAUGAGGGGGUCUCAUGGUCAUUUUUAGUAGCACUAUUAACUUGUGUUGGACCAUGUGUCUCUGUCCUAGUAAUAUGUAACACGCACAUGUUGAUCCUUGAUAAGAAGUCAAAGCACAAGAAAUUUUACUUAGAUUGGAGUUAACUUUAGAUGAUAACAGUUGUAUCAUUGCUGGUUUUACAAACAAGGAUCAGUGAUGGAUAUUUGAAUUGGAAAACAUUCAUUAUCUUAAGCAGUGUAUAUUGUUGAACAUAGACUGAAUCUCUAUGGAUAAUGUCAUAAUACAGACUUUCACAAUUUUCUAAAAUAUGGUUCUGGUAAGUCCCUGAAUCAUGAGACAGGGUCAUUAAAUCAUUCUUGUUGAACCUGUGUACCAUUUUCUUUGCGUGCUUGGUCUCUCUCGUCAUUAAUGAUUUGUUAUUUAAUUCUUUUCUAUGUUGUUUUGUGCAUGUAAAUUCUACCAAGUAUGAAUUUAGUAUUUAAAAUCCUUAUAAAAUGUAUGAACUUGACAAAUAUUUGAUAUGGAAGAUCAGUGGGGUGUUGCCUACAAGAUUAUCCGGAAGGAAGACCAGGAGGCUGCAUUGGAGGUAGGUUUUAACUUUUAGAAAAUAUAUAAAAUGUUGGAUUCUGUCUCUUUUAUGUAACAGUUAUUAAAAUUAUUUCUUUUUGGUGGUAAAUGAAUUCCUUCCAGUUGAUCUCGAUGAUAAAUUUCAAGAUAUGUCUUCACCUGUGCUUUUGAUUUUACUGGCUACUGUGACAGUAGAAGUUUUCAAAUAUUGGAUUGCUUCAAAGGAAAACCUCAGCAAAUCUAAGCACAAAGAAAACCUUCAAAAGAGGGCCUAGAAGUCAUAUAUGCUAUUUUAAUUUAAGAUAAUAGUCAAGCAAACAAAGAAUAAGACAUAAUAUUCUGAUGUUUCAGUUAUAGAUUGUUCCUUAUACCCGAGAGUUUGUAAUUUUCUUAAAAAAAUUACACUUUCAUGUCCAUUGUAUCAUUAAUAUUCCUAAUUCAUAUCUUUGUUUGGAUUAACUCUUCCCGUCUUAGAAGGGUGAUAUUAAAUGGAAAGAAAUCAUAAAACAAGCAAAGAAUGGACACUAGUGGUUCCCCCUCAAUGUGAGAUAUAUGUUUGCUGGUUUUCACUAUAAUGGAGAGCAAGAGUCCUAGGUUUCGUCACGCCUCUCCCACACCUGAAAGCUGCCUCCUAAAAUUCUUUGUGUAUGUAGGAAUCUCAUGGCGACCUAAUACAUGUAUGGAAUACAGGCCGGAUUGUAGUCGAGUGGAUAAGUGGAGAGUAUGAUUAGGCUCCCAUAGUCCAAAAUAUCGGACACUGAGAGAGAUUUGUUUACACUUCUAUUGCAUGUAUCAGUCUUUUCUUGUUCAUUAAGUACCUGUUUUCGGCUUAGUCCUUGUUUUCUCCCUUUCUCAAAAUGAAAUGCCUCUCUGCUACAUUGAAUAGCAUCUAGAAGUAAGGGAAAAGCAGUACGACAUGAAGGCUUAUCUUGACUUCUUCACUGUAAGUCUAAAGUUCAUCCAAUAAUUAUGUUGAUGUCUUCAUUUGAUAUUAUCUAAAACAUCAAAUUGUUGGAGCAAAUUCUGAUUGUGCCUGUACAUGUUAAAUUUUAUUUCAGAAGCCCACUGCUACAACGCCUGCAGUUUCCAAUGUAUUGGUGUAAGUUGCCCAAACCGCCACUUACUAUUGCGUAAAUCCUCUAGAGCAUUUUCGGUACACAAUAAUGCACCAUUUUAACUUUUCUUUAUUAGUACAACUUGAUACUCAGUAGCCCACCACAUAGAACAAGUCAAUAGAGAACUUGAUUGGAGGAUAAAAUACAUUAGAUAUUAACUUCUUUUCCAUUUUAAUAUUGACUAGUACAUUGCAGCCCCUUACCAAACAAUCUAUUAGAGCACAUUUGGAACAUUAGUAUUGGACAAAGCUACACACGACAACAAUCAAGAUUUUAAACUUCUCUUUCUAAUAUUUUCGAGUAUUGUGCAGUCUGUCUUACCAAACAAACCAUUUUAAUGUUAUAUUUGUGACAAUAGGCUAUUUCAGAACUUAAUAUUUUGAUUGUUUAGAUACAUAGCAUCUGCAGACAAGAAGCUCAACAAGAACUACUUGGGACCUGCUUCAUUUGAAGAAAUUGCAAAGUAUGUAUUUUAUUUCUCUGAGACUUAUUUUGCAUUUUGUACAAGAUGUUCUGUAAGCCUCUGUCAAAAGUAAUUUGGAUGUCAGCUCCAAUUAUCCUAGAAGAUGUUCUACUAAGCUUAAAAGAAAGUUAAACUAAAUUUCAAGCAAAUUUUCGUUACAAACUUGUUUAAUUACUUCACUUUUUCUUAAAAGUUGUAAAAGUUACUCUAUAAAGUAGGGGUUACUUUCAAAAUAAGUAAAUUAUUUCCAACUUCCACGACAGAAAAAUAAUAUAUUUUGAAAAUUGCUUAUUUGCAUAUAAGUCACUUAUAUGUAAUAUUUUUAAGCAUAGACAAACAUCCACUCAUUCACCUCUCUAAUUCUUAAGUCAUGGACAAAACGAACAUCAAAUAGUAAUAUUACAUUUUUCUCUAUAUAUUUUGAGAUAACAUUCUAUCUAUCAUUACAUUUUCAAAUAGGCAUUAUCGUGGUUGAAAAAAAUCUUAUUUUGAUUCAUAUUUUCGUAAAAUGAAUAUUAGUCAAGAUCAACAUUUAGGCACUAUAUCGAUCAUGAAAAAUCCAUGCAAACUCUGUAAAACGUAAUAUUCGGACAUUUUGUUGAUAUCUUACUAAUCUUGAUUUUUGUAGUCAGAUUGUUCACGCAGAAGGCCCCUCAGGACCAAACAGAGAUUAUCUUUUUAAACUUGAAACUGCACUUAUUCAAAUAGGUGAAGUCAUAUAAGUUCUUCUGAAUAUGACAAAACUUGUGCCAGCUACCUUCCCAUUUCCUUCUUUGUCUGUAUUUACAAGCAUGUUUGGUACAUUGGAUUAGAAUGUAUUAGAGACUACACUAAGUGAAUUGUCCCCAACCCUUUAUUUUCUUUUCUAGUCUAGGGAAGGGAGGGGAGAGGAUGAGGUUUGGGGUGGAGUGGGGUGGGGUCGGUCGAGUGGAACCUGUUGGGUGGUUGCAGGUUGGGCUAGGCAAGAAAUAUGACUGUUUUUUCUAUUUGUAUGUAUAUAUUUUUAAUCUAAGGGUAUAAUUGUCUUUUCGUGGCAACUUAACAAAUACUUGGACGAACCCAUUAGCAUCGACCACGAGACAAGUGCCUGGGAGUGGAAGGUUGGGGAAAUAUUAGAAAGACAAAAGUUGAAGACAAAAGUGCAAAACGGGUUUAAGGUUAAGAACAACGUUUGGAACACUUAAGUAUAAUUUAUCACCUAUCUCUGGUCUGUGAUCAUGUUGAGUCUUGUCCAAUCUAUCAAUGUACCCAUACGCCUGGCUCAUUUUACAAGGUAGAUUGUAUAGUAAGAGACUAAGCCCUUGUUUGAACCCCAUUUUUGUGAAGAAAAUGAAUUUUUGAAUAGUGUAUUGAUGGAAAAUGUGUGUUUAAAAAAUAAGGAAAAAAUUUUGAUUUGCGAAUAACAUUAUUUUAUUGAAGAGUGUGUUGUUGAAAUAAUGUCAAAUCACUGUUGAAUAAUGUAUUUUGGUUGAAAAAUGAGGCUCAAACAAGGGCUAAGUGUGUGUUUAAGUCACAUUAUUAUAAAAGAAUGCAUUUUAAAAAAGUAGGUUGAUAGAGAAUGUGUGGUUGAAAAAUAAGGAAAAAUUUUGGAUUUGCGUGUAAUAUUAUUUUAUUGAAGAAUAUGUAAUUGAAAUGAUAUCAAAUUACUAAUUAAAAAUAUAUUUUUUUGAAAAAAUGCGGCUCAAACAUGGCUUAAAUAUUGUGUCUCGUUCUAUCUGAUCUUAUAUGGUGCUAACUCCAAAACAUGACUUAUGUACUUUUGCUUAUCGUAUUUCAUUAUUUGCACUCUGCUCAAUCAAUGUUACUGUACAGGAUGUGAAGACGAACAUGUCAAUGAUCUUGCCGACGAAGUGAGGCGUAUAGUGUUAAAAAGAGGGACUGACCACUUGAUGAAGACUGGGGUUCAUUGAGCAUCGCAUGGACAUUGUUUUGGUAAUUCUUUAAAGCCACAAUGAAGCUUUAUUCGAAGCUCAGGCUAUUGAGAUAAUGAAAUAUAAAUUGACUUCUCUUUAUACUGUUUCUGCUUAUUUUCAUGCACGACUAAGUGUAAAUGUUAUGUACUAAUGAAGAAAAAGUGAAUGCAUGACUAAUAUGGUUCACGCUUUUAUUACUUCUUUUAUCGGAACUUGUAUGUCCUUUGCAUUAACGUUUGAUGUUAUUUUAAAUAUUAUUGUUUUCGUUUGAAUGUAUGGUUGAAAAUGAUCUUUAAAAAAAUCUUUUCCAAACAAACCCUCAAUAAUAUAAGUUAAUAAACUCGGCAAUUGAAGAACUCUAACCCAUGAUUAUUCAUUGUCAAAAUAAAUUUCUAUUUCCAAACUAUAAUUUCUUUAAUGUAUUGACUCAAUUUGCUGCUAAGCAAUUAUACUAUACCUUGAACACAUUUGUUACAUCAUAUUAAAUAGGAUUGCACGAAGAAUAAAUAAAUUGUUACCUUAUUGUUUAAUUAAUGGCGUUCAUUAGAGAUCAAUGAAAGUCAAUAUGUAAUCUCCAAAGGUCACCAUCGUUUUUAUUUAUUAAAAAUGUUUGUAGUCAACCCAUUUUUUGGGAUCCACAAGUAUAACACACUUAUCCACAACUUAUUCCUAUUUAUUUACAAUUUAUACAAUUUAUGAAUACUUGCCAAAAAUGCCACAUUCUAUAUGUCUUCUUGAACUAAAUAUGAUUAAGAAAUAUGAGUAAAUGAGAUGUUUGUUCAAUAAUUCUCUUUCAAUUAAAUUUAAAAAAAAAAAAAAGUUGAUCGUAAACAAAGAAAAGAAACAUGUGAGACACUUAUCCAUUUACCUUUGACAUGUAAACGGAACGUAUAUAAUUAUGAGAACGAGGUAACUGAGCUCUAUCAUACCCUAAUGUUCAAUUUAGCACCAUUUUGGCCCUCCAUUUUUUCAAAUUAAAAUGGGUGGAAUAAUAUUUUUUUUUUAAAAAUGAGUGGUUGAAAAAGAAAGAAAAGUUUUCGAUUUAAGUGUAAUAUUAUUUUAUGAAAAAUUAUGUGAUUGAAAAUAGGAUAGAGAAAAAUAAAAUUUAAUUUAAUGAGAGCUAAAUGGGGGCUUAAUGUGUGAGGACGACAUAUUUGAAUGAAAUUAAAUAUUAAAGACAAUAGAAAUGUUUAAUCAAUUAAUGUCCUAUCUAUCAUAUAAACACAAGCCAACAAAUUUCAACGCCAUUAAUGAAAAAAGUACAUGAAAUGUUUAGUCAUGCAUGCUUCUCCAAUCUUACAUGCAAUUUUUUUUUUCAUGCCUAUGAGAUAUUUUUGAUAAAGUAGGUUAAACAGUAAUGAGUGAUAUAAAAUUGACAUGUUAUCAAACCAUAAACUUCACAUCCAUGAAUCUUGUAGACUGGAGUGAUUAUGUUGAUUAUGGGAUAAGAAUCAGAGUAUCAUCAUACACUAUAAAACAAUUAUAAUUCCUGAAAAUCUUAGUUAUUGUCAAUACUUGUACCCUACAAUAUGUGUUGCUCUGAUUGCCUCUACGGUGACUUUUCUAGCUCUAAUGCCCUUUCUGACGAAAUUAUGGCUAAGCAAUUAUAAUGCCCUUUCGACAUUUUUUUUUGAAUUGUAUGGGGCAUUUUCUUAAGUGAAACUUGAAGAAUAUAGAAUAAUAUAGUUUGUACGAAGUGGGGAUCAUCUACAUCAAUAUUAUUUGAGUAUUUGAAAUUUUGUAUAUUCAAAAUACGAAAUUAUCAAUAAAGUCCUUUUCAAAGAUUCCUUUACGAAUAAUUGCAGCAGAAGCUCCAAAUCUUUGAAAUAAUAGUAGACUUCCCAAAACCUUUGUUUAUUGCAGUCGUCAACCUCAAUAUUUUCAAAUGCUGCAUGGGAAGCCCUUUUGAACGAUUUUCAUCAAUUGAUUAAAAAAAUGAUUUUGACCACAUUUUAACAAUUUUUAAAGGGACGGAAUGGUAACUUUACAUUAAAAAAAAUUAAAAUAUAAAAUUGGUUUUCUUUUUCCCUAACCCACCCCAAAUCCGCCCCCACCCCACAGUCGGAUUUGGAAAAUUGAAGCACUAAAACCAAACCACAAAUGUAGCCCUCCUUUCAGAGUUGAUCCCUUGGAAUUUUCAGAUAAUAGUGGGGUAGGGGAUGGGUUAGGAAAGAAGAAGAUCAAUUUUAUUUCUUGAUUUUUGAUUUUAAUGUAAAGUUACCAUUCUCCCUCUUUAAAAUUGUUAACAUGUGGUCAAAAUCAUUUUUUUGGUCAAUUGACGAAAUUUUGAAUGAAAACCGUCCAAAAGGGUCUACCAUACAACGUUUGAAAGGUUAGGGUGACAGUAAUGACAAAUCAAAGGUUUAGAGAAAGUUUGCUAGUGUUUCAAAACUUUGAAACUUUUACUACAAUUAUCCCAUUUCUUUAUGCAAGGGCUUUAAAGUGUGGCUAAGAAUUCCCUGUACAUGUAACAAAAACUUUAUCAAAAAUAAAAACUCAAUGAAAAAGAAAAGAAAACGAAGACACAUCCCUCGAAUUAUUAGUUGAGAAUUCUAUAUCGUCAAGGACCACUUUAUUAAAAUCUUUUCCUUUAGAGAAAAUGAUAUCAAAGUGAGUGGAGAAAGAUGGAAAAACUCGUUAUAAAUUUGUACAAAUAUAUUAAUUCCCACAAAAAAAAAAAAAAAAAUAGUGCUAGCGAUGAGGGAAAUGAUCAAUUGGUACGCCGUAAUUAAAAACUCAAUAGUGUUUGUAAUGUAAUUAUUGACCUCGUUAUUAUGUAAUAUUAAACUUCUAUUGAAUGCAAAUAAUUUAUGUAUACUUUGGAUUUAUGUGUAAGGACAAGAUAACUAUUGGACUUUGCUACUACGAUUUGAUUUAUUUAUUAAAAAUAAAAAUAAAAAUCCAAUCAAAAAAAUUAGUCAUGUACCUAAUAAACUAGAUAAAUAUGCAUGGCAUUUUCAAGAAGAGUGUCCACUCAUCAUCCCACAAUCCUACAUGUAUCACAUAGCACUAAACCCUAAUAAACAUUUGGUGUUCAUUUUGCAAAAUAUAAUAAAAAUAAUUUAAUAUGAAUGGUUCAACAUAGUAUAAAAGCAAUAAAAAAUUUGAACUCAAGUCGCAUGGGCUAUAUAGGAAAAUUGUGCACAUAUAUAUUCAAUAAAAAAAGGGAAAAAUUCAUAACUUAGGUGUAUUGUUUACACCAAUUCAAUUUUCAAAUCCUAAGUUUAAAAGUGCAAAAAUCAGGUAUUUAUUUAUUAAUUAAAAAUAUUUUAUUAAUUAAAUGUAAUAAGGUCAAUGAUACAAAAUUUUAUAUCACAAUUUAUUUACUAGUCACAUAUCAUUAAAUUAAUUAGUCACAGGUUAUUUCGAGGUCAUAAAUAAAUUUUUUUAUAGAUCAUCUAAAAAUUUAUAGGUCACAAUUUAUUGUGGUAGUCACAAAUCUAAAAAUUUAUAGGUCACAUAUUUUCAAAUUUGUUGAUGACAGUUAAAUAUUUGGUCACAUAAGUCGAAUAGUGGUCACAGACCAUCGCGAUUAACACUAUCACAUCGCUACUGCCAUCACGACCACUUGUGACCACCCUCACCCCGUUACCGUCGCCAAGGUCACAUGAUCACAGAUAACUAAAUAGUUGGUCACACUUCUCAAAUAAUGGUCACAAACCACUACCACCACCACCACCACCACCACUAUCGCAUCGUCAAUGACGUCACGGGCACUUGCAACCAUCCUCAGCUCGUUAUCGAUGCCAACACCAACACCAACAAAAACAAAAAUCAAGGCAACUACAACCAAUAAUCACCACCUUCGUCACUAGAAACCACCACAAGUGCCACCACCAAAAACCACAAUAAUACAUAACCAACGUCUCAACCACCAACAAGACCACCGCCGUAAACCACACAAUAUCACUGCACCACCAUCCAAACACUAUCACCGCCAUCACCAUUCAGAUCUGAACACACCACGUCACACCACUACAACCACCACCAAAAGAUUAAUAUUCACACCAUUUAGACACCGACAUAUCAAUAUUCACACGGCAUCACCACCACAUCCACUACCACUCCAAAAAUCAACAAACACCUAACACCGCACCAAUAAACUUCCACACACUGAACCAUCUUGUGUGUCGCCGCAUAGCAAAGCCACGACAACGCCGCGACUUUGACGCUCAUAUUGACUCGCAACGGCACUCAGAUUGACGCUCAACAGCCAUGUCAUCAACGCUUGUCACGGCACCGACACUCGUUGUGACAACAGCAUUCAUCGCGACGAGUUAAGUGGCAAUCAGAUUUAGCAGCGGCCAAAGUUGGUAGAGAGAAUGGAGAGAAGAAAGGGGAGAAGUGAAUUAGGGUUUGGAAUUGAAUUAAUAAAUUAAUACCUGAUUUUUGAUUUAAAAACAUUUGCACUCACAUCUUUAGAUACCAGGAAUCUUGUAAUUUCCUCAUAAAAAAAAAAAGAGCAUGACCACGCGUAUGUACUGUUCUAAAAGUCAUGUAUUAGUGGCACCUAAGUGUCACCAAUGCGCGAUGCGUAGUGGAAAUGCCAAGCCAAGUGGCUUGGCACCUUAUUUAGCGGUCAACGAGAGCGGUCAACAACAAUCGUUGCCGCUAAUGCACGCCUAGGUGUGGUUAACCAAGCCUAGACAAGCAUAAUUAUCUUUUAAUUUUAUUUUUUUAUUUUACAAUUCUUUUAAAUUAAAACUUAAAAGUUGAUUCCUUCAAUUCGUCGAUUCUAAAUUCAAAAUAGUCACUUGAAGUCUAAAACAAAGGAAAUCUCCCAAAAACUCUUAUUUAUUUACUAUUUAAUAUUUACAUUUGGAAAUUAUCUUUUUAUUGAAAACUUUGGAAAAAUGAAUAAAUUUCCUAUAAAUUUGUUUUAGAUGUUUGGUACGUAUUAUUUUUAAUUAUUAAACGAUUUUUCAAUUGAUUAAAAAUUAAAAUAAUUUUAAAAUAUGAAAACAUCUUUUUAUGUUUUUUUACGUCUAUGCCUCGUCUAAGCUCCCCUAACCCAUAGCUUGGCUUCUACGUAUUGCUACGCAUUACGUUUUUUAAAACACUAUGCGUACGUUAAAGGACACGUUUAGAAUUAAUUUCAAAAUAAAUAAUUGUACUGCAUUUAAUAGUUUAAUUUUUUAGAUGAAAUAGUUAACUAAUAACAAAUUAAACUUAGAAAAAUAUUUAACAUGUGGUGGAGAUUCAUGUUAAACUAUUAAUCUUUCUUUUAGGAUUAUUUUAAUUAGUGGAAAGAUUCUAGUUUCUUGAAUUUGAUUCCUAAAGGGGAAUAGAGUUACUGCGCCAAUGCACAAGAAUUAUUCAAUCUCUUUUGCUUUUAUUUUGUGUAUAAAAGCCCAAAACUUCUCAUUUUUGUAUGGUCCAGGCAUUUACAAUUGUGUAUAGAAAAAUUAGAGAAUAGGAAUGGGAGAGCAAUCCGCAUGGGGGAUUACAAGUAUGGCAUUCAAUAAGAUGAAGCCCUAGUUGGCCAUGGUGUCUCUACAAUUUGGCUAUGCCUGAAUGUACAUUAUCACCAUGCUUUCCUUCAAGUUCGGGUUCAACCACUGGAUUCUAAUCGUGGACCAAUACAGUUGCCACGAUGGCUUUUGCGCCUUUCGCAUUUUUCCUCAAAAGGUCAAUACAUCGUCCAUAUAUAUGUGCAUAAGUGUAUGUAAGCCACGCAUGUUAGUUUUAUUUCUCCUUAUAAUAUAAAUUCAUUUCUUCUCUCUGUGUGUGUAACAAUACAACUUGCAUGUCAUUUUGCAAGAAAAUAAGGCCUAAGAUGACACUAUCAGUCAUUCUGAAGAUAAUACUACUUGCUUUUUUGGAGUAUUCCUCUUGAUCACUUCACUUAUUUACUACAAUAUAUCGCUCUUUUGCACCAUCUUACAAGAUUUUCAUCUAAUAGUAUAGUUCAGUCGACCUUAUCUGCAUUAAAUAAACACGAUUAGGCAGUAUAUGUCCAAAAUUUGAGCUUAUUUGUCAAUUUUGUAAUAUUAUCAAGCCCGUGCUUGAUCAAAACUUAAUUCUUGUACUUUUUAGUUAGGAAUGUUAAAAGAAUUAGAUCGAAACAUGUUUGAUUGAAAAUUUUGAUAGAAGUUCCAAAAUGUAAAUUGGUUACAAGUAGGAAAAUUGAAAAUAUAGAAACCAUUAAAAUAAAUUUUUACUUGGUUGCUCUAUAAGAUUGCCAUUUGUUACAUGUGCGCGCUUAUAUUGAGCUUGUCGACCACGUAAAAGUCGAUCAAUGCUUGACGUCAAAUACUUUUGUACAGUGCCAUGUGAUUAAGUAAAUUACAAUGUAUUUAUUAUUUUAUUUAUUUUCUCGUGAUUAAACAAUGGAAAUAACAGAUUAAUUUUUUUAAAGAAUAAAAAAAUAAAGGGUGAAUUUAUUUAUGGAACCACAUUGAUUUCUUCUCCAAUAUCAAAUUUAUCAAUAUGAUGUGAGAGAAUAAAAAUAAAACCCUACUAUAAUUUUCUAACAAACGUGGUGCCGGCAAGGAAAUAACAAAUUUGCCGAAUCAAGAUCGGACGACCGGGUCAACCCGUCAAUACCGGGAAAUCCCAAUCCAACGGCUCAUAUACGUUACGAUAUCCACCGUUGGAUCAUCAACUGACGGCCCAUAUCAAACCAUUGUGGGCUCCAUCAAACCUUUUCCCUAGACAUAUAAAUAACAAUUAUGUAAAACCAUGUCCACUCUGAAGAAUUCUUGAACAAAAUUCUCUCUCACACAGUGGUUUUGUGUGUGGGUUCUGUUGGAAAAAAAUGGUUCAAUGGGUCAACUUUGAGUCCAAAUUUCAGUAGGACCCACCUUUUAAAUAAUACGGGACCUAGUAUAUUCACGUUCUACUCCGCGAGAUGAUUAACGUGAUAUAUUUAUUUAUCGAAAACCAUUUAAAAUUGAAUGAAAUAUUAAGUGUUAAAGUAACCCACAUGAACUAAAGAUUAUGGAAGAAUUUGAUUUGCCAAACACUUAUCCCACAUAGGAAAGUUAGGAAACUUUGGUGUGUUUUAUAAGGUGGAAGUUUGGAAUUAGGUUUGGGCCCCAAGGGGUACCAAUAGUCUUUGGAAGGGGGAAGACCUAUAUCCUAUUGGGUUCGGUCAUAAACCCACACGCGCGCGCCGCUGUCCGACCGGCCGGCUCGGCAUGGCAUGGCACGAGUCCGGUUCGGUGGGGGUCCGGGUCGACCUUUACACUAUAUUAACUUUUUAGACAAAAUUUAUUUAAAAUUUUGGGCCAAAUUGUAAAUAAUCAAAUUCUUGGGUACAAAAUGAAAUUUAAAUUUUGGCUUAUUCCGGGUGUUUUAUUUUCUUUUAACAGUCGACUGUUUCGACUGUUUAUCGACCAUUAACCGACUUAACAGACACGACUUUUAAGAACAGUAUGUCUGUUCGAAUUUUUGAGGUUUGUCUGAAAGGUGAUGACUGUUCGAAUGGCCACGAACAAGUCUAUAAAUAGCCAGCCUUUCUAUCAGAAAAUUUACACCAUUUUCAUUGCAAACUUUCUGUGCUUUGAAUCUCAUUUCCCUCUCUCUCGAUAUUGUCUCGAAGUAAAAAACACUUCGUUGAGUUCGUUGAAACUCCUACAGACUGCAGUGCUGCUUUCGUAGGAGACGAAAAAUUCGUUCUAUCCUGGAAAACGAUUGCUGGACGCCUUUAGCACCAUUGAAGGCAGCAAAUUCGUUUUAAGGACACAUCGUGAAGUCGGUGGGCUCGAAUUACAAUUUUGGAUCCUGUUGAUCAAUUCUUGCAUUCAGGUAAUUCUGUCGGAUUGUUUUCGAAGGAGUGAAUUCAAACUCUAGAAACAACAAUCUUAAAACGAAUUUUAUUUUUUCAAUUAUUAUUUGUUUCUUUUUCUACUCCUUCUUAUCGUUGAUCUUCUGAUUGCAUUCAGAAAUGGAAACUUCUGGUACCACACUCCCGAAUACGACCGGGGAAAAAUCAGAAAAGUUUAAUGGGUCAGAUUUCAAGCGUUGGCAACAAAAAAUGCUUUUUUAUCUGAUGACAUUAAAUCUGGCUAAAUUUCUCAAAGAAAACGCGCUUUCAUAUACUGAGCAAGACAGUGAUGCUGAAAAAUUGGCUGCGCUUGAUGCAUGGAAGCAUUCUGAUUUCUUAUGCAGAAAUUAUGUGCUUAAUGGACUGGAUAACACAUUAUAUAAUGUGUACUGCAAUGCUAAGUCUGCAAAAGAACUGUGGGAAUUUUUGGACACAAAGUACAAAAUCGAAGAUGCCGACACGAAGAAAUUCAUUGUCGGUCGUUUUUUGGAUUAUAAAAUGGUUGACAACAAGACUGUCAUAUCCCAAGUUCAAGAACUUCAGAUCAUACUUACCGACAUCCAUGCCGAAGGAAUGAAACUAAGUGAAUCGUUCCAAGUCGCUGCACUAAUAGAGAAAUUACCACCUUCAUGGAAGGAUUUCAAGAAUUACCUCAAGCACAAGCAAAAGGAAGUGAAACUUGAAGAUAUCAUUGUCCGUUUGAGAAUAGAAGAAGACAAUCGCAAAACGGAAAAAAGGAAUGGUGCAUCUACUUCGAUGAAACCAAAAGCCAACAUUGUAGAAGGAGGCUUCAAGACAAGCAAAAAGAGGAAGCACAAUGGGGAAGGACAAAUUGGUUCUUCAAAAACUGCUAAAAAGUUUAAAGGCAACUGUUACAAUUGUGGCAAGGCAGGACAUCGAUCCAAGGAUUGUCGAAAGCCAAAAAAUGUGAAGGGAAAAACUAACCAGGCCAAUGUAACAGAACAUGAGAACCUCACUGAUAAGGUACAAGACAUGAAUCUUUCUGCGGUCGUCUCUGAAUGCAACUUAAUUGGAAACACUAAGGAGUGGUGGGUAGAUACUGGAGCUACUCGUCACAUAUGCUCAAAUCGCAGGAUGUUCUCUACCUACAAAGCAAUGGAUCAUGAUGAACAUCUUUACAUGGGAAACUCGUCAUCUUCCAAGGUAGAAGGACAUGGGAAGAUAGUGCUGAAAAUGACAAGUGGAAAAGAGCUCACUUUGAAUGAUGUUCUUCAUGUGCCCGAUGUUAGAAAAAACUUGGUAUCUGGUUCUCUACUAAGUAAGAAUGGGUUUAAACUAGUAUUUGUCUCGGACAAAUUUGUACUAUCAAAGAAUGAAAUGUUUGUAGGAAAAGGCUACCUGAAUGAGGGGCUCUUUAAAUUGAAUGUAAUGACCGUUGUACUUCCAAUUAUGAAUAAGAAUAUAUCUUCUUCUUACUUGCUUGAGUCAUUUAACAUUUGGCAUGAACGAUUAGGACAUACAAGUUNNNNNNNNNNNNNNNNNNNNNNNNNNNNNNNNNNNNNNNNNNNNNNNNNNNNNNNNNNNNNNNNNNNNNNNNNNNNNNNNNNNNNNNNNNNNNNNNNNNNNNNNNNNNNNNNNNNNNNNNNNNNNNNNNNNNNNNNNNNNNNNNNNNNNNNNNNNNNNNNNNNNNNNNNNNNNNNNNNNNNNNNNNNNNNNNNNNNNNNNNNNNNNNNNNNNNNNNNNNNNNNNNNNNNNNNNNNNNNNNNNNNNNNNNNNNNNNNNNNNNNNNNNNNNNNNNNNNNNNNNNNNNNNNNNNNNNNNNNNNNNNNNNNNNNNNNNNNNNNNNNNNNNNNNNNNNNNNNNNNNNNNNNNNNNNNNNNNNNNNNNNNNNNNNNNNNNNNNNNNNNNNNNNNNNNNNNNNNNNNNNNNNNNNNNNNNNNNNNNNNNNNNNNNNNNNNNNNNNNNNNNNNNNNNNNNNNNNNNNNNNNNNNNNNNNNNNNNNNNNNNNNNNNNNNNNNNNNNNNNNNNNNNNNNNNNNNNNNNNNNNNNNNNNNNNNNNNNNNNNNNNNNNNNNNNNNNNNNNNNNNNNNNNNNNNNNNNNNNNNNNNNNNNNNNNNNNNNNNNNNNNNNNNNNNNNNNNNNNNNNNNNNNNNNNNNNNNNNNNNNNNNNNNNNNNNNNNNNNNNNNNNNNNNNNNNNNNNNNNNNNNNNNNNNNNNNNNNNNNNNNNNNNNNNNNNNNNNNNNNNNNNNNNNNNNNNNNNNNNNNNNNNNNNNNNNNNNNNNNNNNNNNNNNNNNNNNNNNNNNNNNNNNNNNNNNNNNNNNNNNNNNNNNNNNNNNNNNNNNNNNNNNNNNNNNNNNNNNNNNNNNNNNNNNNNNNNNNNNNNNNNNNNNNNNNNNNNNNNNNNNNNNNNNNNNNNNNNNNNNNNNNNNNNNNNNNNNNNNNNNNNNNNNNNNNNNNNNNNNNNNNNNNNNNNNNNNNNNNNNNNNNNNNNNNNNNNNNNNNNNNNNNNNNNNNNNNNNNNNNNNNNNNNNNNNNNNNNNNNNNNNNNNNNNNNNNNNNNNNNNNNNNNNNNNNNNNNNNNNNNNNNNNNNNNNNNNNNNNNNNNNNNNNNNNNNNNNNNNNNNNNNNNNNNNNNNNNNNNNNNNNNNNNNNNNNNNNNNNNNNNNNNNNNNNNNNNNNNNNNNNNNNNNNNNNNNNGGGCUAUGUCAUCAACCGAAGCUUCAUAUUGGAAAGAAGCUGUUCAUAGUGAAAUUGAAUCCAUACUACAAAAUCAUAAUUGGGAAUUAGUAGACCUCCCUCCCGGUAAUAAGCUUUUGGGAUGUAAAUGGAUUUUCAAAAGGAAAAUGAAAGCAGAUGGAUNNNNNNNNNNNNNNNNNNNNNNNNNNNNNNNNNNNNNNNNNNNNNNNNNNNNNNNNNNNNNNNNNNNNNNNNNNNNNNNNNNNNNNNNNNNNNNNNNNNNNNNNNNNNNNNNNNNNNNNNNNNNNNNNNNNNNNNNNNNNNNNNNNNNNNNNNNNNNNNNNNNNNNNNNNNNNNNNNNNNNNNNNNNNNNNNNNNNNNNNNNNNNNNNNNNNNNNNNNNNNNNNNNNNNNNNNNNNNNNNNNNNNNNNNNNNNNNNNNNNNNNNNNNNNNNNNNNNNNNNNNNNNNNNNNNNNNNNNNNNNNNNNNNNNNNNNNNNNNNNNNNNNNNNNNNNNNNNNNNNNNNNNNNNNNNNNNNNNNNNNNNNNNNNNNNNNNNNNNNNNNNNNNNNNNNNNNNNNNNNNNNNNNNNNNNNNNNNNNNNNNNNNNNNNNNNNNNNNNNNNNNNNNNNNNNNNNNNNNNNNNNNNNNNNNNNNNNNNNNNNNNNNNNNNNNNNNNNNNNNNNNNNNNNNNNNNNNNNNNNNNNNNNNNNNNNNNNNNNNNNNNNNNNNNNNNNNNNGUAUUAUUGGCAGUUUAAUGUAUGUCAUGAAUUGCACUCGACCUGAUAUUGCCUAUUCAAUUAGUAGGCUAAGUCGAUAUACAAGUAAUCCAAGCACUGAUCAUUGGAAGGCCAUUGUUAGAGUUUUAAGGUAUUUAAAACAUACCCAAAAUUUUGGAUUACACUAUUCGAGAUAUCCAGCAGUACUUGAAGGAUACUGUGAUGCAAAUUGGACAUCAGAUACUAAAGACUCCAAAUCAACAAGUGGAUAUAUCUUUACACUUGGAGGUGUUGCAAUAUCAUGGAAGUCUUCAAAGCAGACAUGUAUAGCUAGAUCAACAAUGGAAUCUAAAUUCAUUGCAUUAGACAAAGCUGGAGAAGAAGUCGAAUGGCUACGAAACUUUCUAGAAGAUAUUCCAUGUUGGAUAAAACCUAUGCCUGCUAUAUGUAUCCAUUGCGAUAGUCAAUCAGCAAUUGGAAGGGCACAAAAUGCAAUGUACAACGGUAAAUCUCGACAUAUACGUCGUAGACACAAUACUGUUAGACAAUUGCUCUCUACAUGUAUUAUCUCUAUAGAGUAUGUGAAAUCAAAAGAGAAUAUUGCGGAUCCUCUAACUAAAAGUUUAACAAGAGAGCAAGUCGAAAGUUCAUCGAAGGGGAUGGGAUUAAAACUAAUAAAAUAAUCAAAAGUUUUCAUGGUGGCAACUCAACCUAGUUGACUGGAGAUCCCAAGAUCUAGGUUCAAUGGGACAACCGAACUGUGAAAACUUAGUAUGCACUGGGAAGAUUUUACUUCUACCCAUUCCUAUGAUGAGCCAGUGCCCAGCUGCCGUGAAAUAGGUUAAGAUACGCUUUUAAUGAUUUCUAUAUCUUGAUUUGUUCAAAUGGAGUAUAACAGAAUACUCUUUAUGGAAAUCACCUAUGUGAGUGAGAAGGGGCCGCUUCUAAGAGAAUUAGGUAAACAUGAAUUCUCUAAAAAUCACUCAUGAACCAGGAGGUGUCCAAGGCCAAAAUGGACACAAACGUGAGAACCAACUGUGUUCGAAGAAAAACUGUGUGACUUCUAUUGUCUAGGUUUCCACAAACGGCUGACUGUUUAAAGCAACUUGCUACUGAUUGGCUAAGGAAUUUCGAUAGAUUUUACUAGGGAAAGUUCAAAGUCAUUGACUACUUAUCCCGAUGCAGUCUUCUUCAAUUUUUUCUUUGAAAAAAACAUAACAGAUGUUAUCGUUUGGAAUAAAGGCCAACAUAUUUAAUUCAUGUGGGGGAUUGUUGGAAAAAAUGGUUUAAUGGGUCAACUAUGAGCCCAAAUUUCAGUGGGACCCACCUUUUAAAUAAUACGGGACCUAGCAUGUUCACGUUCUACUCCGCGAGAUGAUUAACGUGAUAUAUUUAUUUAUCGAAAACCAUUUAAAAUUAAAUGAAAUAUUAAGUGUUAAAGUAACCCACAUAAACUAAGGAUUAUGAAAGAAUUUGAUUUGUCAAACACUUAUCCCACAUAGGAAAGUUAGAAAACUUUGGUGUGGUUUAUAAGGUGGAAGUUUGGAAUUGGGUUUGGGCCCCAAGGGGUACCAAUAGUCUUUGGAAGGGGAAAGACCUAUAUCCUAUUGGGUUCGGUCAUAAACCCACACGAGCGCGUCGUCGCCGCCGUCCGACCGGCUGGCUCGGCUCGGCAUGUGCCCGAGCCCUAGUCCGGUCCGGUUCAGUUCAGUGGGGGUCCGGGUCGACCUUUACACCAUAUUAACUUUUUAGACAAAAUUUAUUUAAAAUUUUGGGCCAAAUUGUAAAUAAUCAAAUUCUUGGGUAUAAAAUGAAAUUUAAAUUUUGGCUUAUUCCGGGUGUUUUACUUUCUUUUAAUAGUCGACUGUUUCGACUGUUUACCGACCAAACAGUCGACUUUUUACCGAUCAAACAGUCGACUGUUAGCCGACCAUUAACCGACUUAACAGACACGACUUUUAAGAACAGUAUGUCUGUUCGGAUUUUUGAGGCUUGUCUGAAAGGUGAUGACUGUUCGAAUGGCCACGAACAAGUCUAUAAAUAGCCAGCCUUUCUACCAGAAAAUUUACACCAUUUUCAUUGCAAACUUUCUGUGCUUUGAAUCUCAUUUCCCUCUCUCUCGAUAUUGUCUCGAAGUAAAAAACACUUCGUUGAGUUCGUUGGAACUCCUACAGACUGCAGUGCUGCUUCCGUAGGAGACGAAAAAUUCGUUCUAUCCUGGGAAACGAUUGCUGGACGCCUUUAGCACCAUUGAAGGUAGCAAAUUUGUUUUAAGGACACAUCGUGAAGUCGGUGGGCUCGAAUUACAAUUUUGGAUCCUGUUGAUCAAUUCUUGCAUUCAGGUAAUUCUGUCGGAUUGUUUUCGAAGGAGUGAAUUCAAACUCUAGAAACAACAUGUUCUUGUUCCAAAAAAUUGUUUUUGCUUAUCUUGCUCACUUAUCCGACGCAUUAUCGCCGGAGAUGAAACCGGCGUCGGAGUAUAUGAUAAGAAAAUCGAGGUACAGGAGAGUUAAUCGUCUAGCUAAAAAGAUCAACAGCUAGGAUUUUAUCAGCGGAUCUCACUGUCAAGAAUGGACGGUCAAAAGCUUACUAGGAACCACUCAUCACUUCUUCGGUUAUCCACCACCGUCAGAUCAUAACCAUCCGCAGCUUAUCUUCUAUGAACGAGAUCGCACCUGAUGAAGAAAUAUAUAACCUUGAAGAAUGGAAAUCUCACUGCAAGCCCGUUUCACCGCUGGUUCAGUCCGGUUCAGUGUGUCUAACUCCGAUACUUGCCAUAUUGUUCCUCUAUGUAUGCACCCUUUUCGCCUUCUUCAACACGGACGACAUAGCCACCUCGGAAAAUCUGCUUUUAGGGCUUAUUUUAGUUGCUGUUUUACUUUUCUUCGCGUCGAAAAAUAAGUCAAGAAUCCAACAAAGUUUCAGUUUUUGCAAGGAACUGUGUUAUGAGUAUGGAAAAAAAGUUGGGUUUCUCUGUUUGACCUCUAAGAACAAUGAAAAAUCUGUGAAAUGGUUCAUCGGUGAAUUGAACUUCGAUUAUAAAGAGAAUGCUAUUUGGCAACAAUGUAUUUAGGAACUCCUCUUGAUAAAAUUGAUUUGUAUUUAGAUUCCACACAAUAGAUAAUAAUGAGAAUCAAAUAUUAAACAAAAUUACUAAAAAGAACAUAUCUCGAGGAUGAAGAACUAAAAUAAUCAAAUAUUGAAUUGAGUUAACAUUAAGCAAGCAUGCCAAAAAGAAGAACUAAAAUAAUCAAAUAUUGAAUUGAGUUAACAUUAAGCAAGCAUGCCAAAAUGUUUCUACUACUACUACUACAAAAAAAAAAAAAAAAAAUGGCGUGCUUAAAUUCGUAAAAUUGAGUUAUUAUCAUUUUUGCUUUAUUUUGAAUGGCAAUUUCAUAUACAUUACAAAAUUUUUACUUUAACAUAAUAAAGUUCUUAUUUGAUUUGUUUGAAUAUAAAUAUGUCAAAUUUAAUCUAAAAAGUAAAGUACGUAUACAUGUGAAUAUUAAAACGCCAAAAUGGAUGCAUAAUUUAUAUUCGUUAAAUAUAUCCAACAUCAAAAAAUAUAAAAAGUUUACCUCAUUUAAUUUGUCAAAUGUAGUGACAUAUUUAAUCUCUUGCUUUGGUUUGCCUAAACUCAAGUAAAUAUGUUUGAUUUAUUUCGAUUCAAUACGAUCUGAUUAGAUUUGGUAUCAUUGGAGACUUGCGCACCCUUUUUAUAAUAAUCCUAUGAAAGUCGAAAGGAAAUGAUAAUAAAAAAUUAUAAAAAUAAUUGGUACGAACUUAAAAUCAAAAGCUACUUUUCUAAAUUUUUUUGCAGAUAGUAUAGUAUAAAAAAAGAAUUUAUAACUUAAACAAAGUUAUAAAGUAAAAUUUAAGAUCUUUCAGCGUUUAAUAAUAUUAAUAUUUUUAGUAAUAUUUAUAUAUAAUAUAACUUUAAUAAGCAUCAACGAUACUUACAGUUUUUUUAGUAUAUCGUAACAAUAUUUAAUAUGCUGACAUUAAAAUUUAAAACAUACACUUUUUGGAUAUGAUAUGACUAAUAUUCUAUCGUUAUAAUUGAUAAAAAAAAAUUUGAAAUGCCUGCGGAAUUUUAAAAUAUCAAAACACUUGGACAAAAAUUAUGGGUUGCGACAUAAACCUUUUAUGAAAUUAAAUUAUUUACAUAAUUAAUUUUAACUAUAAUUUUGCAUUAAAACCAAUAUUCAAAAUAAAAUAAAAUAAAAAAAGUUGGGAGACUAUGCAUUUAAGAGCUUUCUUAAUGAUUAAUAGUUAUAAUUAAUUAAAAAUUAAAAAAUAUUUUCCCUACCAAUUAAAGGUAACAAUACUAAGUGAAUGUAAAUUAUAAAAAUGGCUAUAAUCAAUAAAAUUAAUAUCAUAUUCUAUGGAAAUGUGUAUUGAAUUCAAUUUGUAAGGGUUGAAAAUUUGAGAAUAUGACACUCGAAAUUUGAGAGAAUCUAACUUUAGAUUUUAAUAAUUUUUUCUCUUUAUCCAGUGUUUAAGUGAAAAAAUUGCAAAUUUUAAUAAACACCAAACCGUUUUUCAAACUGACAACUCAUACCUAAAUUUCUUGCAAGUGAAAUUGACAAUAGAAUUUUCAAUUUCUCAAAACUAACAUUCAUACAUUGUAAGAUUGUAACAAUAAGAAAGAAAAUAUGUUCAUUAAUCAACGAAUAUCAUAGAGACAAAAUGUACAAGAUUCGAUUCGAGAAAAUAAAGAAAAAUUUGUAUUGCAUUGGAUAACUGAAUGCAAGUAAAUUUCGGUUGACAAUAAUAUUUGUAAAAAAUAAAUUCAAAAUAACUAUCCAAUAUAAUAAAUCUUUACAAAACACUAUUAAAAUUCAUCAUUAAAAAAAGUAAGAUGUUUAUUAUUUUUUGUUGUGGUCUAUAUAUAUAUAUAUAAAAGAAUGGCCAUCACUCCGAUCAAAAGAGACCAUAAAAAUUUGUGAUUAAUAAUCACAUCAACAAUUACAUAGAGAAAAUAAAUAUAGGAAGAAAAACAAUUUAUAAACACAUAUUCAAUAUGUGAUCUGUGAGUGAUGAAUUAUGGAUUCAUAAUUGAGACUUAAAGCGUAAAGAAACUCUUAUAUAGUUUUUUAUUUUAUUUUAUUUUUUUUAUUUAGUUCAUUUGUGCAAAAACUUUUGUCGAAAUAUAUCAAAUCAAAGAAAAAUAUUUAUAUUAUGGACAAUAAAAUGUCCUAAUUAUGUAUUUGAUUAAUAAAAUAUUUAAAGAUUGCGAUUAUGGAUUGAUUUAUUAUUUUCAAAAUAAUUUUUUAGAAAUGCAAUACUAUUUUUAAUAUUUAUUAUUAGGUUUAAAAAUAUUUAAUUGUGUUAGUAAUUUUAAUUUUUUAGUAUAUAUUAAUAUUAAUUGACUUAAUAAAAUAUGUCAUUUCAAGUAAAUUAUAUAUAGAAAUAGUAUUAUUGUAAUUUCUUUUCAUUGUGUGUAAUAACAUUCUCAUUAUUUGUGUGCUAAUAAUUAGAAAUAAUUGUAUUUAGUGGAAAUUAAUUGACUUAAUUUUUGAAAGCAAUAAGAAUUAUUAAUUAUCUUAUUUAGAAGUUAUAAAUUGAAUAUUAAGGGUACGGUUCACCACAAAUAUAAAAACGUAAAAGUAAAAUGUGAAAUCGAAUGUUUAUCAUCUAAUCAUACUUAGGUUAUUGAAAAAUGAUUUUUUUUCAUCAUAUUUUAUCAAAUCAAUAUAAAUUAAUGGUGAUUAAAAAAUUGAUGGAUUAUUAUAAAAUGACUUUUCAUCUAAUACGUAAUAAGUAAACAUUAGUUAACAGAUUUAUUUAUUUAUUUAUUUAUUUAUUUUUACCGUUAUGUUUUAUUUUCAAUGAAAUCUUUUAGGAAUGCCUUUUAAUCUAUAAUAUUAGGUUUAAAAAAUUUAAGUGCAUAUAUAAUUUUAUUGUUUCUAUAAAUCUUAUAUAUAAUAUUAUUUGAUUUAAUAGUCUAUGCCAUUUCAUGUUAAUUAUAUAUGUGGUAUUGUUAUAAUUUUUAUUUGUUUUUGUAUAAGUUUUUAUUAAUUGUAUACUAAUAAUUAGUAAUAAUAGUGUUUAGUGGAAAUUAAUUGAUUUAAUUUAAAAGAUAAAUAAUUUUAAUUUUAAUAAUAAUUGAAUUUAGUUGAAAUAAAUUUAAUUUUAAGAGUAUUAUUGACCAUAAACAUAAAAAUAUAAGGGUAAAAUGGAAAAGUAAAGACAUGAAAAUAAAUGAGUGUAUAUUGGACUUUAAGCUAAAUAUGUAAGGGUACAAUUGUUAAUCAAAAGUUUCUCCUCAAUCUCCAAUUUUAAUAUAUUGCAGAUAAUCCUCUACAAUUAUUUCUUGGUAUUGUAAUGUUAAAAAAGUAGAACCAUGUAUUUUUUUACAUAGAGAUUUCUUAUCGUUCUUUUGUUCAAAGCCAUAUUUGACUUAAGUUUAGCUUUAUUAAGAAUGUUCUAGGGUUUUUGGUGGCAAUUCAUUCUCAUACACCUUAUUGUGUGGUGGGAAUCUACCAAAUUUGACAUUGGAGUCUUAGCACGCAAGCACUAAGUUUUGUAUCAUCAUAUUGUCUCCCAAAUGCUCUAAAACUUGUAAAGAACUAAUACUCAUUUUCCAUAUGCGUGAGCAUCAUAUUUCAAAUUAUUUGAGAUAUAAUCAUAAAUUUUUUCUAAUAAUAUAAUAUACGAGAUUUCAGUUGUCAAUCGAGUAUCUUUAUAUUCAAAAAUAGUAAUAAGAUUGUAUAUGACACAUCUUUUGCUACUUUUGUUAAUGAAUCAAUUAGUUUGUUAUAUUGCAUUCCAUUCUUUAUUUUGUUUGCAAUGAGUUAACUAGAUAAAAGUUUUUUGUUGAGUUUUAAAAAAUAUAAUAAAAUGAAAUAUAAGUCGGUACAAGGUUUUUUUGUUAUGUACCUUAAAUUCAUGUCAUCUUGUAACAAAUACUUUUGUUGAUCUAUGAUCUAUGAGUUUCAACCUUGUUGACACAACUCAUGUAUUAUGGCUUGUGUUGAGUCUUUAUGUCAAGCCUAGCUCAACUUGCAUAAUGUCAAGAAUUUUUACGCUAGUACACUCUAUGACUCUUGCGUUGUGAGCCUAGUUUGUAUAAAAUCGUCUUAGCAUACUUUAUAACUCUAAUAGAACAAAUUUAAAGUUGAAGGAAUAGAUUAUAUAUGAUUGUGAAUGUUCUAGUAUUGUUUCAUUAAAUAUAGCAAAUAAUUAAAUGAUAUCAAAUAUAUUAAGAAUAAAAUUUAUUUUUACAUUGUUGUUUGAUUAUGAAUUAUCUCAACUUCGAAAUUUAGAGCAAAGCAGUGCUACGUGCACAAGGUGGUCGUUCAUAGAGUUGAUACAGGUCACACACAGAAGGUGGGUUAGGUGGUUCAUUUUUAAAAAAACAAAAAAAACAUCACAUGGGGAGCCCAUGUGAGGGUCUAUAAAGACCUCAUGAACUAAUUCCCUGUACAUUUCUAGCGUAAGUAGUCACAUCAAUUCAUUAGAAGAGUCAACUUAUUCCAUGUGCUGUUGGUGCGGAAUCAGUGCUGAUACUGUAACUAAGGUAUUUAUCGUGUUUGGCCACGUUAACUUGAAAAGUAAAAAUUACUUUAUAGAAUAAUUUUUCUAUAAAAAAAUAUUAGAGUACAAUUUUGUUUAAUAAUUAGCUGCUGCCAUAUUCAUUAUUAUGGGGAAUAAAAUUAUAUGCCUAAAAAUAUUUUACGAUCUCCAUAAAGUAAAAUCAGUAAGAGAAUUUCUUAAAUUCGGUACGUCAGUUUUCAUUUUCCUUUUUCUUUUCCAAUAAAAUAUUAAUUUACUUAACAAAUGUUGGGUAUAUCUUCUUUUAUUCUUCUCUUUCCUCUAUUAUUCUAAAAAUAUUCUACUUUAUCAAAAUUUCUGUGUUUUGUAACAUUUCUAUGCAUCUUAUUGAGUACAAUUGCUUGCUAGACAUCAGUAUAUUUGGUAAAGUCUGUUGGACAUAAUAUAUAGCAUUAAAAAAUGACAAAAUUAAAACAUUUAUUUACCAUAAUGUUCAAUCUCGUCUAGUUAUACAUACGAACCAUGCGCUUAAUCUCUAAGAGUAUUACUAUAUCAUAUAAUCGAAUUUUUUUUGGAAUUGUAUGGGGGCAUUUUCUUAAGUGAAACUUAAAGAAUAUAGAAUAAUAUUGUUUGUACAAAGUGUGGAUCAUCCACAUCAAUAUUAUUUGAGUAUUUGAAAUUUUGUAUAUUUAGGCUCUGUUUGAACCCCAUUAUUUCUUCAUUAAAAUGAAAAAUAUGAUCGUUAUCCAUCAUAUCAAGUCACUAUAUUUGACUUUUUAUCUAUUGUGCGAGAUCCAUAACGACUAUAUUUUUCAUUCUUAUUUUUAUAAUAAUGUGGCUCAAACAGGGGCUGAGAAUACGAAAUUAUCAAUAAAGUCCUUUUUGAAGAUUGUUUUAGAGAUAAUUGUAGCAAAAGUCCCAAAUCUUUGAAACACUAGCAGAUUUUUCCCAAAUCUUUGAUUUGUUGCAGCUCCUAAUAUUUCCAAGCGUUGCAUGUAAAGCCUUUUUGGAAGGUUUUCAUGCAAAAUUUCGUCAAUUGACCAAAAAAAAUGAUUUUGACCACAUUUGAAUAAUUUUUAAAUGGAUGGAAUGGUAACUUUACAUUAAAAUAAAAAAUUUAAAAAUAAAAUUGGUCUUCUUCUUCCCUAACCCACCCCAAGUCCACCCCCACGCCAUAGGCGGAUUGGAAAAUUGAAGUACUAAAACCAACCCACAAAUAUAGCCCAACUUUCAGUGUUGAUCCCUUGGAAUUUCCAGAUCCUAGUAGGUUGGGGGUGGAUUAGGGAAGAAAAGACCAAUUUUAUUUUUUGUUUUUUUGAUUUAAAAUGUGGUCAAAAUCAUUUCUUUUUGGUCAAUUGAUGGAAUUUGGGAUGAAAACCAUCAAAAAUGGCCUCACAUGCAACAUUUGAAAAGAUUAUUGUGACGGUUGCAACAAAUCAAAGAUUUGAAGAAAGUCUGCUAGUGUUUUAAAGAUUUUGAACUUGUGCUGCAAUUAUUGACCUUGUUAUUAUAUAAUAUUAAACUUCUAUUGAGUGCAAAUAAUUUAUGUAUACUUUGGAUUUAUGUGUAAGGACGAGAUAACUAUAGGUCUAUCUACUACUAUUUGAUUCGCUUAUUAAAAAAAUAAAAAUCCAAUCAAAGAUAAUUAGUCAUGUACCUAAUAAACAAGAUAAAUAUGCAUGGCAUUAUCAAGGAGUGUCCACUCAUCAUCCCACAAUCCUACAUGUAUCACAUAGCACUAAUCCCUAAUAAAUAUUUGGUGGUCAUUUCGCAAAAUAUAAUAAAAAUAAUUUAAUUAUGAGUGGUUCAACAUAGUAUAAAAGCAGUAAAAAAAUUGAACUCAAGUCGCAUGGGCUAUAUAGGAAAAUUGUGCACAUAUAUUCAAUAAAAAAAUGAGCAUGACCACGCGUAUGUGAAAGGACACGUUUAGAGUUAAUUUCAAAACAAAUAAUUGUACUGUCUUUAAUAGUUUAAUUUUUUAGAUGAAAUAGUUAACCAAUAACAAAUUAAACUUAGAAAAAUAUUUAACAUGUGGUGGAGAUUCAUGUUAAACUAUUUAUCUUUCUUUUAGGAUUAUUUUAAUUAGUGGAAAGAUUCUAGUUUCUUGAAUUUGAUUCCUAAAGGGGAAUAGAGUUAGUGCGCCAAUUUACAAGAAUUAUUCAAUCUUUUUUGCUUUUGAUUUGUGCAUAAAAGCCCAAAACUUCUCAUUUUUGUAUGUCCCAGGCAUUUACAAUUGUGCAUAGAAAAAUUAGAGAAUGAGAAUGGGAGAGAAAUCCAUAUGGGGGAUUACAAGUAUGGCUUUCAAUAAGAUGAAGCCCUAUUUGGCCAUGGUGUCUCUACAAUUCGGCUAUGCCGGAAUGUACAUUAUCACCAUGCUUUCCUUCAAGCAUGGGUUCAGUCACUGGAUUCUAGUCGUGUACCGCCAUGCAGUUGCCACAAUGGUUUUUGCGCCUUUUGCAUUUUUCCUCGAAAGGUUAGUACAUCAUUCAUACAUAUGUGCAUAAGUGCAUGUAUGCCACGCAUUUUAGUUUUAUUUCUCCUUAUAAUAUAAAUUCAUUUCUUCUCUCUGCGUGUGUAACAAUGCUAUUUACAUGUUAAUUUGCAGGAAAAUAAGGCCUAAGCUAACCCUAUCAGUCUUUUUGAAGAUAAUGCUGCUUGCUUUCCUGGAGUAAUCUUCUUGAUCACUUCACUUAUUUACUACAAUAUAUUGCUCUUUUGCGCCAUCUUACAAAAUUUUCAUCUAAUAGUAUAGUCCAGUCGACCUUAUCUGCAUUAAAUAAACACGAUUAGGCCAUAUAUACCCAAAAUUUGAACUUGUCAUUUUUGUAUUAUCAUCAGGCCUGUCCUCGAUCAAAACUUGUAUUAUGUUGGAAUGAAGUAUACAUCAGCAACUUUUACAGCAGCAACUAUCAACAUUCUCCCAGGCAUCACCUUCAUAAUGGCUGUUAUUUUCAGGUAUAUCUUUACUUUCCCAGAUUCAUUAACAAAACUUUGUAUUAUACUAGUUUGAUGGGGUUCAAAGGUGAAAAGAGAGUUAGAUCGAUGUGCAUGGCAUAACAUUCCCAUUUUUUUGUGUAUUUAUUCUUAGUUGAGUUUGAGACGACAUCAACCAAAAUAUACUAAUUAAAAAAUGGGAAAAUUGUAGCAUAGCUCCAAACCUUUUUCAAUUAUUGAAAACUUUACCCUAACCUUCAAUUUGUGUCAACAAAGGUCCCCAACCUUUCAGAAGUAUGCACCUGAGUCCAAAUUAAUGGAAACCCAUCCAUUUGAACUUUAGUUGACCAAUAAAAUUGAAUUUUGAACAAUUUUGACUAAUUUAAAAGAGUAAAAGGGUAACUUUGCAAUUUAACUCUAUAAAACAAUUAAAAUAAAUAAUCAAAACAAAAUAAAAAUAAUAAAAGGAAAAAAACUAUUCAUCUCACACCCCCAUCCUCCCAAAUCCACUACCCAAGCAACCUCUUCAUUAGAAUUUUUACUUCUCCAACACAAAGAAUUUCCCACUUGAACCUUAUUUCCCUCACAAUACAAAUACCCAUCUUCAGAUUUUGUGAAACAAUACUAGAGAUUCUGGGUUUUGAGUUCAAUGAGGGACAGAAUUGCUCGUAUGCACAAAGAGGCGAUUUUUGAAGUAGGCUUAAGUUUGAAGGGUGAAAUGGGUUUUAUGGGAAACCAAGUAAAUGGGGAUUUCGGGGAUUUUAUGGAAAGGAUUGUUGGGGUUUGAGAGAGGAGGUUUAUAGCCACCAUUGUUGGGAGAAAGUGAAGAAAAUGCAACCGUUUACACAAAGAAAGAUGAUUUUUUGGUUUUGGUUUGCGGUGGUCGCUGGCGAUGGCCGGAAGUAGCAGAUGGUCGACGAGUUGUUUCUAGAUUUUGGUUCUUUUUUUUGUUGGGGGGAGGAGGCAGGUGAGAUGUGUAAGAAGAUGAUAUUUUAUUUUUAUCUUUUCUCUCUUUUUAUUUUGUUUUAUUUUAUUUUAUUUCUGGGUUUUCCAUUAUUUUAUGUAUAUAAUAGCAAAGUUAUCAUUUACCCAUUUUAAUUUGAUCAAAAUUUGUCAAAGUCCACUUUUGUUGGUUCAACUAAUGGUCAAAUGAACAACAUUUGGAUCCAAGUGCAUAUUUCUGAAAGUUAGGAACAUUCACUAGCACAAAUCGAAGGUUAUGGUAAAAUCUGCAAAAAUAGAAAAGACUUGGGACCAUUGCUACAAUUUUCCCUUAAAGAAUUUAGAGGUGUCAAAAUAGGCGGAUCGACCCAAGCCAGGUUCGUCUGUGAAAAGUUCAAGCUGAUAACCAGUCUAGACUUGGCCCCUGAUGACAUGUUGCCCAUGUAGACAUUUUUAUCAAAAAAAAAAAAAAUAAUAAUAAUAAUAAAUAAAUAAUAAUCAUUUUUAUUUUACUUCUACUAAAAUCCUUUUGAAAAAUGUGGGGACCAGGCCUCUAAGACAAGCCAUCUGGAUCCAACCUACUCAUUUUGACACCUUGAGAAAAAUCAUAUUAUCAUUUCUUCAAAAAUAUUUAGUGCCUCUGUUUGGGUUUAUUUUCAUUUGUAACUAAAAAGUUACUUUUAAAGGAUCCAUGGUAUUAUACACAUAUCGACCACUCAUUUCUCGAAAAAUAAAAGAAACACGAACAUAAGC